rnacentral:tRNA from 1 species
GAGACGCUAGUAAAAAAACAUUACACUGCUUUGUCAAGGCAGAAUUGCUGGUUAAAAUCCUGCGCACCUUA